rnacentral:rRNA from 1 species
GAUCGGAGUGCUUGCACUCUGUGAAACAAGAUACAGGCUAGCGGCGGACGGGUGAGUAACACGUGGGUAACCUGCCCAAGAGAUCGGGAUAACACCUGGAAACAGAUGCUAAUACCGGAUAACAACAGAUGAUGCCUAUCAACUGUUUAAAAGAUGGUUCUGCUAUCACUCUUGGAUGGACCUGCGGUGCAUUAGCUAGUUGGUAGGGUAACGGCCUACCAAGGCGAUGAUGCAUAGCCGAGUUGAGAGACUGAUCGGCCACAUUGGGACUGAGACACGGCCCAAACUCCUACGGGAGGCAGCAGUAGGGAAUCUUCCACAAUGGGCGCAAGUCUGAUGGAGCAACGCCGCGUGAGUGAAGAAGGGUUUCGGCUCGUAAAGCUCUGUUGUUGAUGAAGAAGGACAGGGGUAGUAACUGACCUUUGUUUGACGGUAAUCAAUUAGAAAGUCACGGCUAACUACGUGCCAGCAGCCGCGGUAAUACGUAGGUGGCAAGCGUUGUCCGGAUUUAUUGGGCGUAAAGCGAGUGCAGGCGGUUCGAUAAGUCUGAUGUGAAAGCCUUCGGCUCAACCGGAGAAUUGCAUCAGAAACUGUCGAGCUUGAGUACAGAAGAGGAGAGUGGAACUCCAUGUGUAGCGGUGAAAUGCGUANAUAUAUGGAAGAACACCGGUGGCGAAGGCGGCUCUCUGGUCUGUUACUGACGCUGAGGCUCGAAAGCAUGGGUAGCGAA